GCCGGGAUAGCUCAGCUGGGAGAGCAACAGACUGAAGCGAAUAGUGGCGUUCUGGAGGUCGCGUGUUCAAUCCACGCUCCUGGCA
rnacentral:tRNA from 1 species